UACGGAGGAUCCUAGCGUUAUCCGGAUUUAUUGGGUUUAAAGGGUGCGCAGGCGGGAGAUUAAGUCAGCGGUGAAAUUUUGCAGCUCAACUGUAAAAGUGCCUUCGAAACUGGUUUCCUUGAGUGUAGAUGAAGUAGGCGGAAUUUGUGGUGUAGCGGUGAAAUGCAUAGAUAUCACGAGGAACUCCGAUUGCGCAGGCAGCUUACUAAACUACUACUGACGCUCAGGCACGAAGGCGUGGGGAUCAAACAGGAUUAGAUACCCCGGUA
rnacentral:rRNA from 1 species